ensembl:lncRNA
GAGAGUGAGUGUGUGUGUGUGUGUGUGUGUGUGUGAGAGAGAGAGAGUGUGUGUGUGUGUGUGUGUGUGUGAGAGAGAGUGUGUUUGUGUGUGUGUGUGUGUGUGUGUGUGUAUGAGAGAGAGAGUGUGUGUGUGUGUGUGUGUGUGUAUGUGUGUGAGAGAGAGUGUAUGUAUGUGUGUGUGUGUGUGUGUCCGCCUGUGACCAUGAUUACAGAUUGAGAUUAAUAAACAGGAAGUUCGUUAGAGCAGACUCACAAUGAAAUAUGUCUCUAAUAUAAAUGUCACUGAUUCUGCUGUUGGUGUGUUUUGGGUU